AUUUUUCCUUUUCUUUUUUGUUUGUCUCAUUUUAAUGCUAAUUCAAUACUUCCAAAACAUAAACAACUCAAAAGACACUCAUAAUAAAAAUUUAGGUAUAAUCACUAAUCAAUAAACUAACAUAAAUUGUGAUGAAUCAACUAAUGUUUUAUGCCAAUAAAAAUAAUAUUUUAUAUUAGUACCGAUACGUUAUUACUUAAUAGUCUUUUUAAAUUCUUAACUUACAAAAAUAAUAAGAGUACAAGAAAACUAAACAUCUUUUCCCAAUUAACCAUCAACUCCUCAUCUUCCGAGCCCCUUAUAAAUAAAUUUUACUACCAAACAUUAUUCGUGAUAUCAUUUACACAACAAACUAUAUUACCCCGUACCAAUUCAUCGUACAAUUUUCAAAGGUAAUAUGUUUUUAUUUUAUGUAUGUUCCUCUUUUCUAUGGUAUAAUCUCAAAUUUUCUCAUGUGUUUUUAUUAUGUUCAUUGUUAAAUAUUUUUCUUUGCUAUUUUAGAGAAAUUAUGUUGUACGUUACCUUAUCCUUCAAAAUUAUACCAUUGUCGUUUAUUGUUUCCCCAAAAUUUUGUGAGGAAGUCUUUGUUACAAGUGACUUGUGUCCAUAUUGGACACAAGUGAGUACCAAUACAGAAUUUGGAGUACCAAUACAGAAUAUGUUAGUACCAAUACAAAUUAUGUGAAUACCAAUAAUAACACAUAUGACUUAUAUUGGUGGUAUUUCUAAGCAAUUUUGCAUUUUGGUACUGACAUAUUAUGUGUUGGUACUCAAGAUGAUUGUAUUUGGAUCACUUGUGUUUAUGUGGACACAAGUCACUUGAGGUUUAGAAACCCUCAAAUUUUGUUUGAAGUAAUUUUAUAAUAAUUGUAGCUUAAUGCAAAGAAAUAUUAAUAGACAUAAAAUGAUUCUAUUUACGCUAAUCAAAUAUUUGUCGUAGCAUAAACAAAAAUUAUUUUGUAAUACCUCAUCUAAAGUUUGUAUUACGAACUGUUUAAGUUUUUCAAACAAUUCAUAUGAUGUUCUUGUGCGUUGCACGGGCAAAAUAGAUUGUUCUUCUUUAACAGAGAUCAAAAGCAGAACUAUCAGCUAUCAAUCCCUCCUUUCCCCAUCCCUCUCUUCUUUGUUCAAUUACUGUCUGUUAUUUGUUUUGUUUUCUUUGUGAUUCCAUUUUCUUCAGCGGUGAUUUUUUGCAGAAAUUCAGAUGGACCGGAUCCGAGAGAUGAAUUUGGAGAACUCUAUAGUCUAUAGACUAAUCGCGGAGUUUCAAAUUGAUGUUGAUACUGGGAAAUCGAGAAAUGGCAGAUGCCCAUAUUAUUGAUCUCAUCGAUGGUGAAUAAGCAGUACUAGAUAAAGGAGUAGCAGGAAAAAAAAAAAAAAAAAAAAAAAAGGGAGAAGGAGAAGAAGAGCAAGCUCACCUCGAUUCUCUCCCCUGAGCCAAUAUUUAUAUACAUCGGCCGAGUCGCAGUUCCUUGUGCUGAUUUCUUCAUAACUGGGAGUUGCGAUGGUGGACAGUGGACAGAGGUGCCAUUCUUCGAGGCUUUGCUUAAGAAGAGGAAGUUAUCUAAUUCAUUGUUAAUGUGGGCAUGCUUUGCCGCGAUGAUGUAUUGGAAUGCCAAAGAAGCUAGAUUGAGUUCUCUAAUACGUAUUAGAAGCUACCAUAGUAUAUUUUAAUGUCCUCCUAUUAAUAAUAGAUACAUAAUACGGAGUACCCCGUAAAGAACAUAUUCAUUACAUGUUCAAAAUUAUAGUAUAUAUGAAGUUCUUUCACUUGCAAA